rnacentral:tRNA from 1 species
UCCCCGGUGGCUCAGAUGGUAAAGCAUCUGCCCGCAACGCAGAAGACCUGGGUUCGAUCCCUGGGUCGGGAA